CCUACGGGGGGCAGCAGUGGGGAAUAUUGGACAAUGGGGGCAACCCUGAUCCAGCCAUGCCGCGUGUGUGAAGAAGGCCCUCGGGUUGUAAAGCACUUUCAGUGAGGAAGAACGCCUGGUGGUUAAUACCCAUCAGGAAAGACAUCACUCACAGAAGAAGCACCGGCUAACUCCGUGCCAGCAGCCGCGGUAAUACGGAGGGUGCGAGCGUUAAUCGGAAUUACUGGGCGUAAAGCGCGCGUAGGUGGCUUGAUAAGCCGGUUGUGAAAGCCCCGGGCUCAACCUGGGAACGGCAUCCGGAACUGUCAAGCUAGAGUGCAGGAGAGGAAGGUAGAAUUCCCGGUGUAGCGGUGAAAUGCGUAGAGAGCGGGAGGAAUACCAGUGGCGAAGGAGGCCUUCUGGACUGACACUGACACUGAGGUGCGAAAGCGUGGGUAGCAAACAGGAUUAGAUACCCCAGUAGUC
rnacentral:rRNA from 1 species